rnacentral:sRNA from 1 species
CUACCACCGGGAUGUUCAUAACCCUUUGUUGUCCGACUCUGUUGCCUCCGGGGGACCCUGCCUUCGGGCGGGGGCUCCGGGUGGACACUUCAAACUCUUGCGUAACUUUGCAGUCUGAGUAAACUUAAUUAAUAAAUUAAAACUUUUAACAACGGAUCUCUUGGUUCUGGCAUCGAUGAAGAACGCAGCGAAAUGCGAUAAGUAAUGUGAAUUGCAGAAUUCAGUGAAUCAUCGAAUCUUUGAACGCACAUUGCGCCCCCUGGUAUUCCGGGGGGCAUGCCUGUUCGAGCGUCAUUUCACCACUCAAGCCUCGCUUGGUAUUGGGCAUCGCGGUCCGCCGCGUGCCUCAAAUCGACCGGCUGGGUCUUCUGUCCCCUAAGCGUUGUGGAAACUAUUCGCUAAAGGGUGUUCGGGAGGCUACGCCGUAAAACAACCCCAUUUCUAAGGUUGACCUCGGAUCAGGUAGGGAUACCCGCUGAACUUAAGCAUAUCAAUAAGCGGAGGA